rnacentral:rRNA from 1 species
AUGAACGCUAGCUACAGGCUUAACACAUGCAAGUCGAGGGGCAGCAUGUUGGUUGCUUGCAACCAAUGAUGGCGACCGGCGCACGGGUGAGUAACGCGUAUCCAACCUUCCCCAUAGUAGAGGAUAGCCCGGCGAAAGUCGGAUUAAUACUCUAUGUUGUGUCAUGAGGACAUCUGAAUAACACCAAAGAUUUAUCGCUAUGGGAUGGGGAUGCGUCUGAUUAGCUUGUCGGCGGGGUAACGGCCCACCGAGGCAACGAUCAGUAGGGGUUCUGAGAGGAAGGUCCCCCACAUUGGUACUGAGACACGGACCAAACUCCUACGGGAGGCAGCAGUGAGGAAUAUUGGUCAAUGGGCGCGAGCCUGAACCAGCCAAGUAGCGUGCAAGGAUGACUGCCCUAUGGGUUGUAAACUGCUUUUAUGCGGGAAUAAAGUCAGGUACGUGUACCUGUUUGUAUGUACCGCAUGAAUAAGGACCGGCUAAUUCCGUGCCAGCCGCGGC